rnacentral:rRNA from 1 species
UACGAAGGGGGCUAGCGUUGCUCGGAAUUACUGGGCGUAAAGGGCGCGUAGGCGGCGCUGCAAGUCAGGCGUGAAAUUCCUGGGCUUAACCUGGGGGCUGCGCUUGAGACUGUGGUGCUAGAGGAUGGAAGAGGCUCGUGGAAUUCCCAGUGUAGAGGUGAAAUUCGUAGAUAUUCGCAAGAACACCAGUGGCGAAGGCGGCUCACUGGCCCGGUACUGACGCUGAGGUGCGAAAGCGUGGGGAGCAAACAGG